UGACCAGAGGGGCAAUUGCCAAGCUGU
rnacentral:piRNA from 1 species